AUUGAACGCUGGCGGUAGGCCUAACACAUGCAAGUCGAACGCGAAAGUCCUUCGGGAUGAGUAGAGUGGCGGACGGGUGAGUAACGCGUAGGAAUCUAUCCUGUAGUGGGGGAUAACGUUUCGAAAGGAACGCUAAUACCGCAUACGCCCCAAGGGGGAAAGCGGGGGAUCUUCGGACCCCGUGCUAUAGGAGGAGCCUGCGUCGGAUUAGCUAGUUGGUGAGGUAAAGGCUCACCAAGGCGACGAUCCGUAGCUGGUCUGAGAGGAUGAUCAGCCACACCGGAACUGAGACACGGUCCGGACUCCUACGGGAGGCAGCAGUGGGGAAUAUUGCGCAAUGGGCGAAAGCCUGACGCAGCCAUACCGCGUGUGUGAAGAAGGCCUUCGGGUUGUAAAGCACUUUCAGUGGGGAGGAAAAGCUGGUGGCUAAUAUCCACCGGCCGUGACGCUACCCACAGAAGAAGCACCGGCUAAUUCCGUGCCAGCAGCCGCGGUAAAAC
rnacentral:rRNA from 1 species